AACGAACGCUGGCGGCAGGCCUAACACAUGCAAGUCGAACGCACCGCAAGGUGAGUGGCGCACGGGUGAGUAACACGUGGGAAUGUAUCCUUUGGUUCGGAAUAACGUCUGGAAACGGACGCUAAUACCGGAUGAGCCCUUAGGGGGAAAGAUUUAUCGCCGAAGGAGCAGCCCGCGUCUGAUUAGGUAGUUGGUGGGGUAAAGGCCUACCAAGCCGACGAUCAGUAGCUGGUCUGAGAGGAUGAUCAGCCACACUGGGACUGAGACACGGCCCAGACUCCUACGGGAGGCAGCAGUGGGGAAUAUUGGACAAUGGGCGCAAGCCUGAUCCAGCCAUGCCGCGUGAGUGAUGAAGGCCUUCGGGUUGUAAAGCUCUUUCGCACACGACGAUGAUGACGGUAGUGUGAGAAGAAGCCCCGGCUAACUUCGUGCCAGCCGCCGCAGUAAUAC
rnacentral:rRNA from 1 species